rnacentral:rRNA from 1 species
GAUGAACGCUGGCGGCGUGCUUAACACAUGCAAGUCGAACGGAAAGGCCCAAGCUUGCUUGGGUACUCGAGUGGCGAACGGGUAAGUAACACGUGGGUGAUCUGCCCUGCACUUCGGGAUAAGCCUGGGAAACUGGGUCUAAUACCGGAUAGGACGAUGGUUUGGAUGCCAUUGUGGAAAGUUUUUUCGGUGUGGGAUGAGCUCGCGGCCUAUCAGCUUGUUGGUGGGGUAAUGGCCUACCAAGGCGUCGACGGGUAGCCGGCCUGAGAGGGUGUACGGCCACAUUGGGACUGAGAUACGGCCCAGACUCCUACGGGGGGCAGCAGUGGGGAAUAUUGCACAAUGGGCGCAAGCCUGAUGCAGCGACGCCGCGUGGGGGAUGACGGCCUUCGGGUUGUAAACUCCUUUCGCUAGGGACGAAGCGUUUUUGUGACGGUACCUGGAGAAGAAGCACCGGCUAACUACGUG